CCUUGUCUGAAACCAGCUGGCUCUGAGAUGACUCUGCCCACCCAUACCAGGAUCAGACUGAUUCACCUAAGUGCUGAUAGUUGCAGCUAGUGUGCCCUUCACUAGGGGCACACAUCAUGCUCUCUGUUGGCACCUACCCAGCCCGGAACCCUGGUUUCCAGUUGGCAUCAGCUCAUUUGGGGGUGGAAGACAAAAGAUGGUUGGACCAUUGUUGGGAAAGAUGACAGCCAAGGAGAGAGAACAGAGGAAAAAGACUUAAAAAAUUCCACUGUAAAACCAUCUGGACCAGUCGCUUUACCGGAAUUCAUUGAGGGACAAGACUUCCAGAAACCGUGGCAUCUGAGUGAGUCCUUGUCUGGUAAUAGCUGGCUCUGAGAUGACUCUGCCCAUCCAUACCAGGAUAAGGCUGGUUCACCAAAGUGCUGACAGUCACAGCUGGUGUGCCCUUCAUUAGCGGCACACAUCAUGGUCUCUGUU